GUGACGCUUUGAAGCAGUUAAACGCCAUUUUCACUUGUCCUGUCUCUUGUGCUUUUUGUGUGUAUUUUUGAGAGUAUAAAAAAAUGUUCGUAAAUAUUUGAAAUGACUGGGGUGUACCUGAUGAUUAGUUGGAACUUAUUGGAGUCUUGGUGGUUUUACUGAUGCAGCUGGUGGUAGCUGAUCCAAGAUAGUUUGUGAGAGUAUGAAGGUAAUUUGGUGAAUAUUUGAAAUGACUGGAAUGUACAUGGUGAUGAAUCUUAACAUAUUGGAGGUCUUUACUGUUACAACUGGUGAUAGCUGAUGAUGGUAGCUGAUUGGUAAUAGCUGAUAUAAGAUGGUGUUGAUGAUGUGUGCAAAUAUUUGACCGGACCUAGGUAAAUUCAGUUCUGCUGUUGAUGAAAUCAUUGUGAAUUACCUGGGGACCAUGGAGAUAGCUGCGUUGGAUGAGGAACAUUCGCUAAGAAGAUGGUGUUUGUGUGUGCACGUGUGUGUAAAUAUUUGACCGGACCUAGGUAAAUUCAGUUCUGCUGCUGAUGAAAUCAUUGUGAAUUACCUGGGGAUCAAGGAGACAACUGCGUUGGAUGAUGAAUAUCCGCUUAGAAGAUUCACAAAAUACUGCGAGGAGGAAGUAAGGAACAUCUGAGUCUUGAUGACUGCAUUCUGCUGAAAAAGAUGGAACAAGCCGACGACACCAAGCUAAAAUCACCAACUGCAGUAAGGAUAUAAUAUGAAUUUUCAUGGGACAAGCCGACAAAGUCUCCAUCACCAACUGCUGUAAGGCACGCUAUCACGGAAAAUAGUGACGGGAAAACAACGAUAGAGACCUUUCAGCAACCACGAGUCACGAUAUCCAUGGGUAUGGCAGAAAUAGGGAGGACAACAUAUAUAUAUAUCCAUCCAUUGCAGUUGUUCCUGAUGAUACAGAAUAAGCACUCCUUCUAUGCCUCCGAUGAAUUCAGAAUUGU